UACGUAGGGACCAAGCGUUGUUCGGAUUUACUGGGCGUAAAGGGCGCGUAGGCGGCGUGACAAGUCACUUGUGAAAUCUCUGAGCUUAACUCAGAACGGCCAAGUGAAACUGUUGUGCUGGAGUGCAGAAGGGGCAAUCGGAAUUCUUGGUGUAGCGGUGAAAUGCGUAGAUAUCAAGAGGAACACCUGAGGUGAAGACGGGUUGCUGGGCUGACACUGACGCUGAUGCGCGAAAGCUAGGGGAGCAAACGGG
rnacentral:rRNA from 1 species